rnacentral:rRNA from 1 species
GACGAACGCUGGCGGCGUGCCUAAUACAUGCAAGUCGAGCGAGUCUGCCUUGAAGAUCGGAGUGCUUGCACUCUGUGAAACAAGAUACAGGCUAGCGGCGGACGGGUGAGUAACACGUGGGUAACCUGCCCAAGAGAUCGGGAUAACACCUGGAAACAGAUGCUAAUACCGGAUAACAACAGAUGAUGCCUAUCAACUGUUUAAAAGAUGGUUCUGCUAUCACUCUUGGAUGGACCUGCGGUGCAUUAGCUAGUUGGUAGGGUAACGGCCUACCAAGGCGAUGAUGUAUAGCCGAGUUGAGAGACUGAUCGGCCACAUUGGGACUGAGACACGGCCCAAACUCCUACGGGAGGCAGCAGUAGGGAAUCUUCCACAAUGGACGCAAGUCUGAUGGAGCAACGCCGCGUGAGUGAAGAAGGGUUUCGGCUCGUAAAGCUCUGUUGUUGGUGAAGAAGGACAGGGGUAGUAACUGACCUUUGUUUGACGGUAAUCAAUUAGAAAGUCACGGCUAACUACGUG